UACGAAGGAUGCAAGCGUUAUCCGGAUUUAUUGGGUUUAAAGGGUGCGUAGGCGGUCUUAUAAGUCAGUGGUGAAAUCUUAUCGCUUAACGAUAAACGUGCCAUUGAUACUGUAGGACUUGAGUACAGAUGCCGUUGGCGGAAUGUGUCAUGUAGCGGUGAAAUGCAUAGAUAUGACACAGAACACCAAUUGCGAAGGCAGCUGGCUACACGAAUAUUGACAC
rnacentral:rRNA from 1 species